CGGUCUUGGCCGGGAACUCAAAGGAGAUUGUCCAGUGAUAAACUNGAGGAAGGUGGGGAUGAUGUCAAGUCAUCAUGGCCCUUACGAGUAGGGCUACACACGUGCUACAAUGGNGCAUACAAAGAGAAGCGACCUCGCGAGAGCAAGCGGACCUCAUAAAGUGCGUCGUAGUCCGGAUUGGAGUCUGCAACUCGACUCCAUGAAGUCGGAAUCGCUAGUAAUCGUGGAUCAGAAUGCCACGGUGAAUACGUUCCCGGGCCUUGUACACACCGCCCGUCACACCAUGGGAGUGGGUUGCAAAAGAAGUAGGUAGCUUAACCUUCGGGAGGGCGCUUACCACUUUGUGAUUCAUGACUGGGGGAAGUCGAAC
rnacentral:rRNA from 1 species